rnacentral:rRNA from 1 species
UACGGAGGGGACUAGCGUUGUUCGGAAUUACUGGGCGUAAAGCGCACGUAGGCGGAUCUGUAAGUCAGGGGUGAAAUCCCGGGGCUCAACCUCGGAACUGCCUUUGAUACUGCAAAUCUCGAGUCCGGAAGAGGUGAGUGGAAUUCCUAGUGUAGAGGUGAAAUUCGUAGAUAUUAGGAAGAACACCAGUGGCGAAGGCGGCUCACUGGCCCGGUACUGACGCUGAGGUGCGAAAGCGUGGGGAGCAAACAGGAUUAGAACUCCGUG